rnacentral:tRNA from 1 species
GUGGCUGUGGCUCAGUGGUACAGUGCUUGCCUAGCAUGUGUGAGGCCCUGGGUUCAAUCCUCAGCACCACA